rnacentral:rRNA from 1 species
GUGAGGAAUAUUGGUCAAUGGGCGGGAGCCUGAACCAGCCAAGUCGCGUGAAGGAAGAAGGAUCUAUGGUUCGUAAACUUCUUUUGCAGGGGAAUAAAGUGCAGGACGUGUCCUGUUUUGUAUGUACCCUGAGAAUAAGGAUCGGCUAACUCCGUGCCAGCAGCCGCGGUAAUACGGAGGAUCCGAGCGUUAUCCGGAUGUAUUUGGUUUAAAGGGUGCGUAGGUGGUUUGAUAAGUCAGCGGUGAAAGUUUGCAGCUUAACUGUAAAAAUGCCGUUGAAACUGUCGGACUUGAGUGUAAAUGAGGUAGGCGGAAUGCGUGGUGUAGCGGUGAAAUGCAUAGAUAUCACGCAGAACUCCGAUUGCGAAGGCAGCUUACUAAGCUACAACUGACACUGAAGCACGAAAGCGUGGGGAUCAAACAGGAUUAGAAACCCCUGUAGUCC